AUGAAGUCAGCUGCUCUCCUCUUCUGGGUUCUGCUCUUCUGGGUCCCUGGCUCCACUCGGGACAUUGUAUUGACCCAGUCUCCUACUUCCGUGGCUGUGUCCUUGGGACAAAGUGUUACUAUCUCUUGCAAGUCCAGUGGGAGUGUCAACAGAUUUGGCAUAAAUCUUAUGCAUUGGUAUCAAAAGAAACCAGGGGAGCCACUCAAACUCUUGAUCUAUAAUGAAGGAAUUCGAUCAUCAGGAAUUCCUGCCAGAUUCAGUGGUAAUGAGGCUUCAUUAGACUUCACCCUCACCAUCAAUACUGUAGAAGCUGAUGAUGCUGCAACCUAUUACUGUCAGCAUAUUAAGAAAAAGUAC